rnacentral:rRNA from 1 species
GACGAACGCUGGCGGCGUGCCUAACACAUGCAAGUCGAACGGAGUGGCGAACGGGCGAGUAAUGUAUCGGAACGUGCCCAGUAGCGGGGGAUAACUACGCGAAAGCGUAGCUAAUACCGCAUACUAUUGGUCCGGCCGAUAUCGGAUUGGCUAGUUGGUGGGGUAACGGCUCACCAAGGCGACGAUCCGUAGCUGGUUUGAGUGGAAGACCAGCCACACUGGGACUGAGACACGGCCCAGACUCCUACGGGAGGCAGCAGUGGGGAAUUUUGGACAAUGGGGGAAACCCUGAUCCAGCCAUCCCGCGUGUGGGAUGAAGGCCUUCGGGUUGUAAAGCACUUUAAGCAGGAAGGCGGUACCUGCAGAAUAAGCACCGGCUAACUACGUGCCAGCCGCCGCGGUAAUUC